rnacentral:rRNA from 1 species
CAGCCGCCACGGUAAUACGUAGGGUGCAAGCGUUGUCCGGAAUUAUUGGGCGUAAAGAGCUCGUAGGCGGUUUGUCGCGUCUGCCGUGAAAGUCCGGGGCUCAACCCUGGAUCUGCGGUGGGUACGGGCAGACUAGAGUGAUGUAGGGGAGACUGGAAUUCCUGGUGUAGCGGUGAAAUGCGCAGAUAUCAGGAGGAACACCGAUGGCGAAGGCAGGUCUCUGGGCAUUAACUGACGCUGAGGAGCGAAAGCAUGGGGAGCGAACAGGAUUAGAUACCCCGGUAGUCCCUGUCUCUUAUAA